rnacentral:rRNA from 1 species
AGAGUUUGAUCAUGGCUCAGAUUGAACGCUGGCGGCAGGCUUAACACAUGCAAGUCGAACGGUAACAUGGGUGCUUGCACCUGAUGACGAGUGGCGGACGGGUGAGUAAUGUAUGGGGAUCUGCCGAAUGGAAUGGGAUAACUACUGGAAACGGUAGCUAAUACCGCAUAAUGUCCACGGACCAAAGCGGGGGACCUUCGGGCCUCGCACCAUCAGAUGAACCCAUAUGGGAUUAGCUAGUAGGUGGGGUAAUGGCUCACCUAGGCGACGAUCUCUAGCUGGUCUGAGAGGAUGACCAGCCACACUGGAACUGAGACACGGCCCAGACUCCUACGGGAGGCAGCAGUGGGGAAUAUUGCACAAUGGGCGCAAGCCUGAUGCAGCCAUGCCGCGUGUAUGAAGAAGGCCUUAGGGUUGUAAAGUACUUUCAGUUGGGAGGAAGGCGUUGAUGCUAAUAUCAUCAACGAUUGACGUUACCAACAGAAGAAGCACCGGCUAACUCCGUGCCAGCAGCCGCGGUAAUUC